rnacentral:rRNA from 1 species
AAAUUGAAGAGUUUGAUCAUGGCUCAGAUUGAACGCUGGCGGCAGGCCUAACACAUGCAAGUCGAACGGUAACAGAAAGCAGCUUGCUGCUUUGCUGACGAGUGGCGGACGGGUGAGUAAUGUCUGGGAAACUGCCUGAUGGAGGGGGAUAACUACUGGAAACGGUAGCUAAUACCGCAUAACGUCGCAAGACCAAAGAGGGGGACCUUCGGGCCUCUUGCCAUCGGAUGUGCCCAGAUGGGAUUAGCUUGUUGGUGGGGUAACGGCUCACCAAGGCGACGAUCCCUAGCUGGUCUGAGAGGAUGACCAGCCACACUGGAACUGAGACACGGUCCAGACUCCUACGGGAGGCAGCAGUGGGGAAUAUUGCACAAUGGGCGCAAGCCUGAUGCAGCCAUGCCGCGUGUAUGAAGAAGGCCUUCGGGUUGUAAAGUACUUUCAGCGGGGAGGAAGGGAGUAAAGUUAAUACCUUUGCUUAUUGACGUUACCCGCAGAAGAAGCACCGGCUAACUCCGUGCCAGCAGCCGCGGUAAUACGGAGGGUGCAAGCGUUAAUCGGAAUUACUGGGCGUAAAGCGCACGCAGGCGGUUUGUUAAGUCAGAUGUGAAAUCCCCGGGCUCAACCUGGGAACUGCAUCUGAUACUGGCAAGCUUGAGUCUCGUAGAGGGGGGUAGAAUUCCAGGUGUAGCGGUGAAAUGCGUAGAGAUCUGGAGGAAUACCGGUGGCGAAGGCGGCCCCCUGGACGAAGACUGACGCUCAGGUGCGAAAGCGUGGGGAGCAAACAGGAUUAGAUACCCUGGUAGUCCACGCCGUAAACGAUGUCGACUUGGAGGUUGUGCCCUUGAGGCGUGGCUUCCGGAGCUAACGCGUUAAGUCGACCGCCUGGGGAGUACGGCCGCAAGGUUAAAACUCAAAUGAAUUGACGGGGGCCCGCACAAGCGGUGGAGCAUGUGGUUUAAUUCGAUGCAACGCGAAGAACCUUACCUGGUCUUGACAUCCACGGAAGUUUUCAGAGAUGAGAAUGUGCCUUCGGGAACCGUGAGACAGGUGCUGCAUGGCUGUCGUCAGCUCGUGUUGUGAAAUGUUGGGUUAAGUCCCGCAACGAGCGCAACCCUUAUCCUUUGUUGCCAGCGGUCCGGCCGGGAACUCAAAGGAGACUGCCAGUGAUAAACUGGAGGAAGGUGGGGAUGACGUCAAGUCAUCAUGGCCCUUACGACCAGGGCUACACACGUGCUACAAUGGCGCAUACAAAGAGAAGCGACCUCGCGAGAGCAAGCGGACCUCAUAAAGUGCGUCGUAGUCCGGAUUGGAGUCUGCAACUCGACUCCAUGAAGUCGGAAUCGCUAGUAAUCGUGGAUCAGAAUGCCACGGUGAAUACGUUCCCGGGCCUUGUACACACCGCCCGUCACACCAUGGGAGUGGGUUGCAAAAGAAGUAGGUAGCUUAACCUUCGGGAGGGCGCUUACCACUUUGUGAUUCAUGACUGGGGUGAAGUCGUAACAAGGUAACCGUAGGGGAACCUGCGGUUGGAUCACCUCCUUA